GAAUAACCCACCUGGUGUCCCCAGGUCUAAAUCAGGCCCUGAUUAGAGGGGGAAUAACCCACCUGGUGUCCCCAGGUCUAAAUCAGGCCCUGAUUAGAGGGGAAUAACCCACCUGGUGUCCCCAGGUCUAAAUCAGGCCCUGAUUAGAGGGGAAUAACCCACCUGGUGUCCCAGGUCUAAAUCAGUCCCUGAUUAGAGGGGAACAGUGACGCUGGCUUGGAGCUCCAGGGUCCUAGAGGUCAUAGCUGUUCUACAUGUUAUUCUAUGGGCUUUAAUCAGUCAGGAUCGGCUGCUUUCAUCUCCAGUGUGUUUUGCUGUACAGCAGGUUUCUCAAACUCGGUCCCGGGGUCCCCUCUUGGGUACAACGUUUUGGUUGUUGUCCUAGCACGACACAGCUGACUGAAAUUACAACUAAAACAUGUACACACACACACACACACACACACACACACACACACACACACACACACACACACACACACACACGUGUGUCUGCCCUUGUAUGGGCGGUGUAGUGUCUAUAUAUAAGGGCUAAAGGAGAUCUGUUGGAUCAUGUAGCAACAACCAGCUUAUAAAAGUCAAUGAAUCAUGUUGAUGUUACAGGUCCUCUCUGCACCUCCACUUCAUGUUGAUGUUACAGGUCCUCUCUGCACCUCCACUUCAUGUUGAUGUUACAGGUCCUCUCUGCACCUCCACUUCAUGCUGAUGUUACAGGUCCUCUCUGCACCUCCACUUCAUGUUGAUGUUACAGGUCCUCUCUGCACCUCCACUUCAUGCUGAUGUUACAGGUCCUCUCUGCACCUCCACUUCAUGCUGAUGUUACAGGUCCUCUCUGCACCUCCACUUCAUGUUGAUGUUACAGGUCCUCUCUCCCACCUACACUCCUGUCCACAGAAAAAUAGCUUUCAUCACAGAUCACCUCGUUAGAUCAUUGAGCUGAGCCAGAGACUGGGCUAUCUCUCUGCUAAAUCACAAUGUUUAUUAAAUCAAUGUUUACAGAGUGUUUAUCUCUCGUUAUCGCUCCCUGUUGGUAUGUGGUGGGGGGAGGAGAAGAGAGAGAGAAAGAGAGAGAGGGAGAGUGCAGCUCUUUAACACUAAUGUGGGUAUAUCUCUGUCGUUUACCAGCAGCCUGGGGAGGGAGGGAGGGAGGGAUGUUGGAAGCAGCCUGGGGAGGGAGGGAGGGAGGGAUGUUGAAAGGCGAGAGGAAAGAAGUAGCACAUGCCACACCUCCCUGUCACUCAGCGGUCGCUAUGGAGCCUGCCGUGGUUGCCGCGGCGUCGUCAGGGAGGGGCAGUAGGAGAGGUUAAAGGAGACAGAGGAGUGACAUCAUCUGUCAGCUCCAGUGCUUUAUCGUUGAGGUGAGGCGUUCAGAACGUUGCAGAUAGAAAUAGAUUAACUAGAGCUGGAACGAGUCCCUGUUCUACAUAACAGACCUCCGUGUUUGUUCUACACAAUACAUUUCUACGUCCUGAGAUGGUGGAGGUUGAUAAUAGACAUUCUCUCUCUGUCAAGGGGCUUUAUUGGCACGGGAGAACAUGUUUACAAGUGAAAAAAAAUAAUAAACAAAAGCGAGAAGACAAAACAUCAACAACCCAAAAAAAAAAAAAAACGAUUAGAAUUUAACAGUAAACAUUGCACUCCAAAAAAGGUUUUUACAAAAAUAUCAACAUUUCAAAUAGUCAAUGUUUGAUUUUAUUUAGAUUAUUAUUUUUUUUUUAUUUUUAUUUUUAUUUUUUCAAAUUCUUUGUGGUUCUGUGUGAAAUAUGUGUCUGUAAUUUGGUUACAUAUUUAGCAGGAGGUCAGGAAGUGCAGCUCAGUCUCUCACUCUCAGGGCUCUGGCAGACAAAGAUCACAAACACUGCUGAUACUCUUAGACACACAUAUUGUGUUAAUGGUGCUGUCACUACACACACACACAUGGACGGACGGACGGACGGACGGACGGACGGACGACGUGUAUGCAUCAGGUGCAUGUUCUAUGGCCCAGGUCACAGAGGUCAUAGUUCAGGGUUCAACCUCCUUUCAGUUUCUUCUGAACUCAAUGACACCGUCAGGGUUUUUAUUUUAUUUAACUUAUCCUGUACUUCUUCUUCCUUCUUUUUUUAGAUUUUUUUUUUAUAUAUAUAUAUAUAUAGAAAUGGGUUUUUAUAGCUAUUUGCUACUCAAGACGAGAGGUUUUUAAAAGCAUAAAUGAAGGUGACGAUGUGUAUGACGUAACGGUGGUGAUGUGGUGGUGUGUGUGUGUGUGUGUGUGUGUGUGUGUGUGUAUAGCGACACGGUGCUGUCGUAGGCUGUUUUCAGCAUGAUGGAAUCACAUUAAACUGUUUCAACACUGAGAUGAAGACCUACUGUUAAACCGACGAGCUGUAAUAAAAUAUUAACCGAA